GAUGAAGAACGUAGCGAAAUGCGAUAAGUAGUGUGAAUUGCAGAAUUCAGUGAAUCAUCGAAUCUUUGAACGCACAUUGCGCCCCUUGGUAUCCCGGGGGGCAUGCCUGUCCGAGCGUCAUUGCUGCCCUCAAGCCCGGCUUGUGUGUUGGGUCUCGUCCCCCUUCCCGGGGGGACGGGCCCGAAAGGCAGCGGCGGCACCGCGUCCGGUCCUCGAGCGUAUGGGGCUUUGUCACCCGCUCUGUAGGCCCGGACGGCGCUUGCCGAUCAACCAAAACUUUUUUCCAGGUUGACCUCGGAUCAGGUAGGGAUACCCGCUGAACUUAAGCAUAUCAAUAAGCGGAGGA
rnacentral:misc_RNA from 1 species